rnacentral:lncRNA from 1 species
CCAGACCCGUCUUAAUCCUGUUCCAGAACUUGCCUCUCUUUCCUCUGAAUUUAUCCCAUCUCUUUUUGCUCGCACUUGCCGUACCAGAAGCCUGUGCCUUUACUUGCUUGACUACUCCCUGACUGAUGGCACUGGCCUCCAUCUUUCUAGCAGCAUCCACAAUAGAGUGGAAACUCUCCUUCUCCGCAUGAAGAAUCAAAGAGAAAUACCUGGGAUGAAGCCUUGUGGCAUAUCUCUUUGCCUUCUUCUAAUCCGUAUCAUACGCCUGACCCAC